AAAUACUGCGUAUGCAAGCUGACAAUCAUACCACGUUGAUAAGCGUUAAUUCUCGUGUGAUCAGUAAAGUUUAAGUAACAUUGAGCAUGGUUAGUAUUUGAAUGAAUGUUGUCAUCUACUAUAUACGAUGUCAUCUACUAAAGAACUGAGUUAGAAAAAGGUUAUAUAGUGCUAUAUAAUACAAAGAAGAAGUUGCCAGCAAGGUUAGGAUUGAAAGUUCAUUCGAUACAUUGGUAGUAUAAACUACUACACCUUUAUGUUUUUGAAAAACAAGUAUUCUUAAUUUGCUAUUCAAUGAUUUUAUAAUAUGCAAUUUGAAAUGUAAAGAGAAUAAAUAUCACAGAAAACAUUGCUAGAAGAAAUGCGUUAGGUUUUGAAGUUCCACAGUUUCUUAUUGAAAUUGUAAAAGCCACGAACAAUGUUUUAUAUGGGAUAACUACAAAGAUAGUAAAAAGAAUGGAAACAAGACUUCGAAGAAGGAAGGAGGAGCUGUCUGAAACACUGUUUUCUGACGUAUCAACGGAUGACAAGCUGCUUCAAAAUUUUUCUUCGAGCAACUGGUGUAAAUAUAAAAUAGUUAGAGCAAAGCUUUAUCUACAAGACUUCUUUACCUGAGCUUGUUACGUUGAUUGUAAGGCUACUUUAUAGAAAUUUCAAUGUAUUGAAGGCUACUUAUAGUAAAUUCAAAUAUAUUGAAAAGAUGUCUCGCAGAGAAAACACAAUGUAAAUGAAUUAUUCAAUAACACUGUGUGAAUAAGUGUAUCAAAAAAUGUAUUUAUGGAGUCCUAUAUAUUGAAACUUGAUGUAUAUGAUGUCAUUAUAUUUACUGAUGGUAAUACAGGCAGGUUGAAAAAGCUAAGAGGUAAAAUAACCAUACUGAAAGAACUGGACAAGCAGAAAGUUAAUAAAGUACAGCUACAAGCCGAAAUAUUGUCUAAAAUGAUAAGAUUUUUGGAAAGAUGAAAGAGAAUUUAUUUGGAUAAUACAGAAGAAGAUAGACAUUACAGUGAUGAAUGGUUUUAACUUGUUUUUACUAAAACUUAUUUUCUACACUGAGAAAGAAGGAAUCGAAAUUUCAAUACGACAUAGUUAUAGUCAAAAGAAAUUGUAUUUUAGUAAAUCUGGAUUUCUCGAUGACCGAUAGGACAAUAUUUAUAUAUAAUAUUUCCAUUGUUUUUCAUGUUGCGGUGAUUGUGAGAUUCAAUGAGAAAAUAAAAUCGACUACAACUAUUAACAUUCGAAGUCUGCAAUAAAUCUGUCCAAGGAAAUGCUGAAAUUAAAGGAAAUUCGAACUUUGUCUUUUACAUACGUAUUUAUAUAUAUGUGCAUUUUAAUAUUUUUUUUUAAACGAAAUUUCUAUAGUAAGAGUAAGUCAGCGACGAGAUGAAAUGAAAAUGAAAUGAAAAAAAGAAAAUGAAUACGAAAAAGAAAGAUAUAUAAGUUGGAACGUUGUACGAGUUUACGAUGUGCCAGACUCUUCGAAGGAUAGAGAAGGAAGAUGAUACUGUACAAGAACGUUUCUGCCAUUAAAAUAUACCGUCGUGCGUUAUUAACUGCUGAUCUAGUUCGAAAUAAUUUUGUUUUUAACAAAAAAAAAUCUUUUCCGUUUGAUUUGCGAAGAAAAACAAGAAAACCAUGCCAACGUGGAGAGGAUAUGUCACCAGCACACGCUCAAAAUACUAAAUGGAAAUAAGUUCGAAACAAAGUAUUAUCAUUUAUGAGGGAUGAAAUCGACCAGAAAUACGUCUUCGACUAAGUUGAUUGAAACGAUUCAUUGGAAGAUUACAAGCCUCGAGAAAGAAAAAGAUAACAAAGCAAUAAUUACGUAAUUCCAACAGAUUGUAUAAUUAAAGUAAUUAAACGAUCAUGAUUACAUAGAUUUUUAAUAAUCUUCCGAAAAAAAAAAAAAUAAAAAUAGAUGUUCCAGUUUAAAAUUUAUAGAUUGCCAAUUGAUUUUUUUGAUUUAUAGAUUGAUGAUGAAAAGUUAUAGAUUAAGAUUCGACAAUGUGGGUAAAACGUAUUAAAAAUAAUGGAUGGAUAAAAUGAUGCAACAAACGAUUCAUAGUUCGUGUGUUAGAACAGAGGAGAUUCGAUAAUAUUGUCAACAAGUAAAAAAUACGAAGCUUCUAGCGAUAUCCUUUGUCUGUUGUAAGUCAAUUUCAAAAUUUUAAUUUAAUAAUGCUCCGGUUUAUUUAUGCAGUUUCAAAUUAUUCGAACGGAAGCAUCAAAUACACAAAAAAUAAAAUUAACAAGACAUGUGUUCCAAAUGAGAAAGAGGAAACGUUACGAUAACGAAUGAAACGUUGAUUCUUACGAGAAAUUCUCAAUUUCAAAUGCAUACUCUUACAUCGCAAAGAUUCGUUUGCUUGUGGGAAAAAUUCUCGAAUCAAAAUUCAAAACGAUAUUCGAAAUGCUUACGAUCAUUGAACAGAAAGUAAAUUGCGUAGAUCACGCUUUUUUAACACUAUUAUGCUGUUUUAACACUAUUAUGCUUAUCUAACAGCAUAUUAUGCUGUUUAGAAAAAUGUUUUAAACAAAACGAGACCAUCGAUUUUUAUGUCUACUUGCAAGUGACAACUGAGGAUCAUUUGGACCCAAAAGGAAGAAGAGGGAGAGCGAAUUCAAAGAUCUAUGGAUCAAUAUAUUUAAAAAAUUUAUCAAAAGCGUCGUUGUCACAUAAACGAAGUCUGGAAAAUUCUUGAUGUAGUUUUAAUAAGAUUUUGUUAUCUUUUUAAAUGACAUUUUAAAGUCAGAAAAGAAUUUUACUUUUAUCCGAUUGAUUCUUGAAAGAGAAUAUACUUAGCUGGUUUUAUGCACUAGAAUAUUUUAAUAGUAUAAGUGUAUACUAUUAUGUAUUAUCAAACUCAAAAUAAACCUUUCUCGGGCUCAAUCGCAUACAAAGAAGGUUUUUUGUAAGUAGAUGUCCAGUUUCGUUGAAUUUGUUUAGAAUUGUUCAUAUUUGCGUGUAAAUUUCACAUGAAACGUGAAAUUUUAUUACUGAUGAAGUUAUUAUAAAAAAUUGCGGUUAUCAAAUUUUGUUCAAAUUUUACUCUUAAAAAGUUUACUCCCAAAAGUCUUUUCUUUAGCUACUAUUUAUAGACACAUAAUGAACUAUAAACAUUAAAUACAAUUUAUUAUAGUUUAUUAUUCGAAUGAUAAGUUUAUCAUUGUAAAUUUAAAAAUUAAAAAUUGCAAAUUUAUUAUCACACAUUUAUAAAUAAUUAAUAUAUUAUUAAUAUAUAAUUUAUUUUUUAAAAUAUUAAAUUUAGUAGCACACAUUUCAAUAUAUUAGUACACGAGUUAUAUAUUAUAUUCAAAAUCGAAUAAAAUAAUAAUAAUAAUAAUAAUUUGAGUUGAAUCAUUGUACAUUCGAAAUUUUCAAAAUGGCAUCCAUUC